rnacentral:rRNA from 1 species
AGUGAACGCUGGCGGUAGGCCUAACACAUGCAAGUCGAACGGCAGCACAGUAAGAGCUUGCUCUUACGGGUGGCGAGUGGCGGACGGGUGAGGAAUACAUCGGAAUCUACUUUUUCGUGGGGGAUAACGUAGGGAAACUUACGCUAAUACCGCAUACGACCUACGGGUGAAAGCUGGGGAUCUUCGGAUCUUGCGCGAUUGAAUGAGCCGAUGUCGGAUUAGCUAGUUGGCGGGGUAAAGGCCCACCAAGGCGACGAUCCGUAGCUGGUCUGAGAGGAUGAUCAGCCACACUGGAACUGAGACACGGUCCAGACUCCUACGGGAGGCAGCAGUGGGGAAUAUUGGACAAUGGGCGCAAGCCUGAUCCAGCCAUACCGCGUGGGUGAAGAAGGCCUUCGGGUUGUAAAGCCCUUUUGUUGGGAAAGAAAAGCAGCAGGUUAAUACCCCGCUGUUCUGACGGUACCAAAAGAAUAAGCACCGGCUAACUUCGUG